rnacentral:rRNA from 1 species
AACGUAUGCUGGCGGCACGCUUAACACAUGCAAGUCGAACGAAGUAGCAAUACUUAGUGGCAGACGGGUGAGUAACAUGUGGGUAUCUGCCCUUUGGCCUGGAAUAACACGAGGAAACUUGUGCUAAUACCGGAUAAGUCUUUACGGAGAAAGCUUUAUGCACCAUUGGAUGAGCCCGCACUUGAUUAGUUUGUUGGUGGGGUAAUGGCCUACCAAGACUAUGAUCAAUAGCUGAUUUGAGAGGAUGAUCAGCCACAUUGGGACUGAGACACGGCCCAAACUCCUACGGGGGGCAGCAGUGGGGAAUCUUGCACAAUGGAGGAAACUCUGAUGCAGCGAUGCCGCGUGAGUGAAGAAGGCCCUUGGGUUGUAAAGCUCUUUCGUCGGGGAAGAAAAUGACUGUACCCGAAUAAGAAGGUCCGGCUAACUUCGUGCCAGCAGCCGCGGUAAUACGAAGGGACCUAGCGUAGUUCGGAAUUACUGGGCUUAAAGAGUUCGUAGGUGGUUGAAAAAGUUAGUGGUGAAAUCCCAGAGCUUAACUCUGGAACUGCCAUUAAAACUUUUCAGCUAGAGUAUGAUAGAGGAAAGCAGAAUUUCUAGUGUAGAGGUGAAAUUCGUAGAUAUUAGAAAGAAUACCAAUUGCGAAGGCAGCUUUCUGGAUCAUUACUGACACUGAGGAACGAAAGCAUGGGUAGCGAAGAGGAUUAGAUACCCUCGUAGUCCAUGCCGUAAACGAUGUGUGUUAGACGUUGGAAAUUUAUUUUCAGUGUCGCAGCGAAAGCGAUAAACACACCGCCUGGGGAGUACGACCGCAAGGUUAAAACUCAAAUGAAUUGACGGGGACCCGCACAAGUAGUGGAGCAUGUGGUUUAAUUCGAAGAUACGCGCAGAACCUUACCAACACUUGACAUGUUCGUCGCGACUCUAAGAGAUUAGAGUUUUCGGUUCGGCCGGACGAAACACAGGUGCUGCAUGGCUGUCGUCAGCUCGUGUCGUGAGAUGUUGGGUUAAGUCCCGCAACGAGCGCAACCCUCACUUUUAGUUGCCAUCAUUAAGUUGGGCACUCUGAAAGAACUGCCAGUGAUAAGCUGGAGGAAGGUGGGGAUGACGUCAAGUCCUCAUGGCCCUUACGUGUUGGGCUACACACGUGCUACAAUGGUAUCUACAACAGGAAGCAAGACUGCGAGGUCAAGCAAAUCCUUAAAAGAUACCUCAGUUCGGAUUGCACUCUGCAACUCGAGUGCAUGAAGCUGGAAUUACUAGUAAUCGUGGAUCAGCGUGCCACGGUGAAUGCGUUCCCGGGUCU